rnacentral:rRNA from 1 species
UACGGGAGGCAGCAGUGGGGAAUAUUGCACAAUGGGCGCAAGCCUGAUGCAGCCAUGCCGCGUGUAUGAAGAAGGCCUUCGGGUUGUAAAGUACUUUCAGUCGUGAGGAAGGUGUUAAGGUUAAUAACCUUAGCAAUUGACGUUAGCGACAGAAGAAGCACCGGCUAACUCCGUGCCAGCAGCCGCGGUAAUACGGAGGGUGCGAGCGUUAAUCGGAAUUACUGGGCGUAAAGGGCACGCAGGCGGUUAAUUAAGUUGGAUGUGAAAUCCUCGGGCUUAACCUGGGAAUGGCAUUCAAGACUGGUUAGCUAGAGUCUUGUAGAGGGGGUAGAAUUCCAUGUGUAGCGGUGAAAUGCGUAGAGAUGUGGAGGAAUACCGGUGGCGAAGGCGGCCCCUGGGACAAAGACUGACGCUCAUGUGCGAAAGCGUGGGGAGCAAACGAGGAUUAGGAUACC